CCUUGGCGACCCCACCAGCUGCCCACUGCCUGGGCACGGCACCAACCCGAUCGCCAGCGGCUCCCCCGAUGU
rnacentral:sRNA from 2 species